rnacentral:rRNA from 1 species
GAUGAACGCUGGCGGCGUGCCUAAUACAUGCAAGUCGAGCGAAAAGACGAGGAGCUUGCUCCUUUGACGUUAGCGGCGGACGGGUGAGUAACACGUGUAUAACCUCCCUAUCAGACUGGGAUAACUUCGGGAAACCGGAGCUAAUACCGGAUAAUCUCUUGAACCGCAUGGUUCAAUAGUGAAAGACGGUUUUGCUGUCACUUCUAGUUGGAUCCGCGCCGCAUUAGCUAGUUGGUAAGGUAACGGCUUACCAAGGCAACGAUGCGUAGCCGAGCUGAGAGGGUGAUCGGCCACACUGGAACUGAGACACGGUCCAGACUCCUACGGGAGGCAGCAGUAGGGAAUCUUCCGCAAUGGGCGAAAGCCUGACGGAGCAACGCCGCGUGAGUGAUGAAGGUCUUCGGAUCGUAAAACUCUGUUAUUAGGGAAGAACAAAUGUGUAAGUAACUAUGCACGUCUUGACGGUACCUAAUCAGAAAGCCACGGCUAACUACGUG